rnacentral:lncRNA from 1 species
AGUGUGACUUGAUUCCACCUGAGCUUAUUGAUUAAUUGUUGUAGUAGAUUCCUCUAUAAUCUUGAUUCUCUAUGCUUGAUUAUUCUGUACAUGCAUUUGAGGAAACAUUGAGAGGAAUUAUGAGGGGUUGAUGAGUAAUCAAAUUGAUUCCGAGUUGUGAAAUGAUUUCUUUUGUAAAUUGAUUUCAUUUCCUCUAUUUCAAAGACUUGUGAGUAGUAGCUUUGAUUAUACUCCUUUAUGAGUAAUUAAAUUGGAUCUGAAUUAUGAAAUGACUUCUUUUGUAAAUUGAUUUCAUUUUCUCUAUUUCAAAGACUUGUAGAGCCCUUCUCAUGGUAUAUUGAGUUGCAUUGUACUCCCGUGAUUCCUCACUCCCAACCCUGAUGUUAGUUAUAAUUGGGUCGUGGCCGAGUGAGUGGUAGUCUUGAUUAUGCUCCUUUUUAGUAGAGUAUUGGGAAGGUACAUUAUGGCAUUUAUGCAUGGCUUGGCAGUAUCUGCAGGACACCUAUAGUCGAUGGGGUUGAACAUCGGCCUUUGUGCACAUAGUAGCCUUCUGGGUGGGCGGAGCCCAGUCCCUUCCUAGGGGAGGACACGACCCUAGGCGUAGGAUCGGCCGGUCCUACGACUUAUAUUCUGCUUGCCGCCGGGCAUAGUAAGACCCCGCGAGGUGCAGUAUGGUUUUCCGCGGAUGUAGAAUUCCCGCGAGGUGCCGUUUAGUAUGUAG